AUUAAGUAUGCUCACUUAAGGGAGUCUUGCUCACUCCCUAUAGAAAGGGGGGUGAUGCUUAUGUCACCAUUUCAGGCAUUAAUGUUAAUGCUUGCAUUCGGGUCGUUUAUAACCGCCCUGUUGACAUAUAUAAAUAAAAAAUAGACCUCCCUUAAGCCUCAAAACCUGAAGGGAUAGGUCUACUAAGAAACCGCAUCGAGUAAGCCUUUUGACGGGGUGUGAUCAACACC
rnacentral:sRNA from 1 species